UGGAGGGUCUGCUAGUGGUAGGCAACAGGUCUCUGGAACCUGGAACGAAGGUUCGAAUCCUUCCCCUCCAG
rnacentral:tRNA from 1 species